rnacentral:tRNA from 1 species
CUUGUAGCUCAGUUGGAUAGAGCGUCAGACUCCGACUCUGAAGGCCGCUGGUUCGAAUCCGGUCAGG